rnacentral:rRNA from 1 species
AUUGAACGCUGGCGGCAUGCUUUACACAUGCAAGUCGAACGGUAACAGGGUGCUUGCACCGCUGACGAGUGGCGAACGGGUGAGCAAUGCGUCGGAACGUGCCUAGUAGUGGGGGAUAACUACUCGAAAGAGUGGCUAAUACCGCAUGAGAUCUACGGAUGAAAGCAGGGGAUUGCAAGACCUUGUGCUACUAGAGCGGCCGAUGGCAAAUUAGGUAGUUGGUGGGAUAAAAGCUUACCAAGCCGACGAACUGUAGCUGGUCUGAGAGGACGAUCAGCCACACUGGGACUGAGACACGGCCCAGACUCCUACGGGAGGCAGCAGUGGGGAAUUUUGGACAAUGGGCGCAAGCCUGAUCCAGCAAUGCCGCGUGCAGGAUGAAGGCCUUCGGGUUGUAAACUGCUUUUGUACGGAACGAAAAGCCCUGGGUUAAUACCCUGGGGUCAUGACGGUACCGUAAGAAUAAGCACCGGCUAACUACGUGCCAGCCGCCGCCGUAA